UACAGAGGGUGCAAGCGUUAAUCGGAAUUACUGGGCGUAAAGGGCUCGUAGGCGGCCAACUAAGUCAGACGUGAAAUCCCCAGGCUCAACCUGGGAACUGCGUCUGAUACUGGAUGGCUUGAAUCCGGGAGAGGGAUGCAGAAUUCCAGGUGUAGCGGUGAAAUGCGUAGAUAUCUGGAGGAAUACCGGUGGCGAAGGCGGCAUCCUGGACCGGCAUUGACGCUGAGGAGCGAAAGCUAGGGGAGCAAACGGG
rnacentral:rRNA from 1 species